UAAUACGAGAGGUCCAAGCGUUAGUCGGAAUCACUGGGCUUAAAGGGUGCGUAGGCGGACCGGAAAGCGUCUUGUGAAAUCCCCUGGCUCAACCAGGGAAAUGCAGGGCGAACUCCCGGUCUCGAGGAAGCUAGAGGCCGGCGGAACGAUCGGUGGAGCGGUGGAAUGCGUAGAUAUCGAUCGGAACGCCAAAGGUGAAGACAGCCGGCUGGGGCUUUCCUGACGCUGAGGCACGAAAGCGUGGGUAGCAAACAGGAUUAGAUACCCUGGUAGUCCACGCCCUAAACGAUGCACAUUAGACUGGUGCGGCUCUGACGUCGUAUCGGUCGUAGAGAAAUUGAUAAAUGUGCCGCCUGGGGAGUACGGUCGCAAGGCUA
rnacentral:rRNA from 1 species